AGCGAACGCUGGCGGCGUGCUUAACACAUGCAAGUCGAGCGAGAAAGGGGGCGUUCGGCCCCUCGAGUACAGCGGCGAACGGGUGCGUAAUGCGUGAGCAAUCUACCCUUGAGGCGGGAAGUAACCCAGCGAAAGUUGGGCUAAUACCGGAUAAGGACCACAAGAGGAGACCCUAGAGGCUAAAGGCAGCUCUCUUUUUGGGGGCGGCCCCUUGAGGAGGAGCUCAUGUCCUAUCAGCUAGUUGGUAGGUAACGGCCUACCAAGGCGAAGACGGGUAGCUGGUCUUAGAGGAUGAUCAGCCACACGGGGGACUGAGACACGGCCCCGACUCCUA
rnacentral:rRNA from 1 species